rnacentral:rRNA from 1 species
UCAAGCUAGAAAGAGCGCAAGGGGAAUGCCUUGGCAUCAGGAGCCGAUGAAGGACGCGACAAGCUGCGAUAAGCUUCGGGUAGCUGCAAAUAAGCGAUGAUCCGGAGAUUUCCGAAUGGGGCAACCCGGCACGGCAAUACCGUGUCAGCGUGCACUGAAUCAAAUAGGUGUACGUGGGGAACCGCCUGAACUGAAACAUCUAAGUAGGGCGAGGAAAAGACAUCAACCGAGAUUCCGCAAGUAGUGGCGAGCGAACGCGGAAGAGGCCAAACCGGAGGAUUUAUUCUCCGGGGUUGCGGACAGCUAUACGGAACAAUAGUUUAGCCGAACGGUCUGGGAAGGCCGGUCACAGAGGGUGAGAACCCCGUAGGCGAAAGACGAAUUGCUUCAGGCUGGAUCCAGAGUACCGCAGGACACGUGAAACCCUGUGGGAAACAGGGGGGACCACCCUCCAAGCCUAAAUACUACCUGAUGACCGAUAGAGGAGCAGUACCGUGAGGGAAAGGUGAAAAGGACCCCGGGAGGGGAGUGAAAGAGAACCUGAAACCUUGUGCUUACAAGCAGUCAAAGCACGUUAAAGUGUGAUGACGUACUUUUUGUAGAACGGUCCGGCGAGUUAUAGUAACGAGCAAGCUUAAGGUAUUCAGUACCGGAGGCGAAGCGAAAGCGAGUCUGAAUAGGGCGUAUGAAGUUCGUUGCCAUAGACCCGAAACCGGGUGACCUACGCAUGAGCAGGUUGAAGUGGGGGUGAAACCCCAUGGAGGACCGAACCGACCCCCGUUGCAAUGGUGGCGGAUGACUUGUGUGUAGCGGUGAAAUUCCAAUCGAACUCGGAGAUAGCUGGUUCUCCCCGAAAUAGCUUUAGGGCUAGCGUUAGUUUAGAUUACCGGAGGUAAAGCACUGAAUGGUUUAGGGGCUGAUAAAGUUACCGACGCCUAUCAAACUCUGAAUGCCGGAUAAUUGAUGACUAGCAGUCAGACAGUGUGAGAUAAGUUUCAUUGUCAAAAGGGAAACAGCCCAGACCUACAGCUAAGGUCCCAAAUGUAUGCUAAGUGGAAAACGAUGUGGAAUUGCGAAAACAACCAGGAUGUUGGCUUAGAAGCAGCCACACAUUAAAAGAGUGCGUAAUAGCUCACUGGUCGAGUGACUCUGCGCGGAAAAUGUAACGGGGCUAAGCAUACAACCGAAGCUUAGGAUUGUCUAAAGACAGUGGUAGGGGAGCGUUCUGUAAGGGGUGAAGUCGCAGCGGGAGCAGCGGUGGACUUUACAGAAGUGAGAAUGCCGGAAUGAGUAGCGAGAAUUAUGUGGGAAUCAUAAUGGCCGAAAAUCUAAGGUUUCUUGGGGAAGGUUCGUCCGCCCAAGGUAAGUCGGGAGCUAAGCUCAGGCCGAGAGGCGUAGGCGAUGCACAUACGGUAGAAAUUCCGUAACCACCGAACUUUAAGCAUGAGGGACACUUUGAGAUAGCGGGACCCGGGCGUUGGUAGACCCGGGCGAAAGGGACCGAAAUAUAGUAGGGAAGUCCGCGAUGCUCGGAGGCGAGAAAAGCUCAUGUGUAUACUAAGGUGCCCGUACCGCAAACCGACACAGGUAGAUGAGGAGAGAAUCCUAAGGCCAACGGGAGAAGGGUUGUUAAGGAACUCGGCAAGUUGACCCCGUAACUUCGGAAGAAGGGGAGCCUCGAAAGAGGCCGCAGUGAAUAGGCCCAAGCAACUGUUUACCAAAAACACAGGUUUAUGCUAAAUCGAAAGAUGACGUAUAUGAGCUGACGCCUGCCCGGUGCCGGAAGGUUAAGAGGAGAUGUCAGGCAACGAAGCAUUGAAUUGAAGCCCCGGUAAACGGCGGCCGUAACUAUAACGGUCCUAAGGUAGCGAAAUUCCUUGUCAGGUAAGUUCUGACCCGCACGAAUGG